GCCUCCUCCAUGGUAGGCAAGUGCUGUGCCCCUGAGGCACACCACAAGACAGGGCCACUAAGUUGUCCAGGCUGGCCUCCACCUUGCCAUCCUCUUACCUAGCAUGCCAAGCAGCUGGAAUUACAGGAUUAACUCAGCUGACUUGGGAUGCUCAAACCUUGCAAGUUCUGAAAAAAGAAGUCGCCCUAGACUGACUCCCAGGAGAUGGAGAAACUGAAGAACAGAGUUUUAAGUAACUUGUCCAAGUCACCACAGCUAGUAAUUGGCAUUCACCUUGGCAGUCUGACCCAAGAAGUUGUGUCUUGAAGCAAUACUCUCUAUGCCUCAGAACCAAAUCUCACUGGGAUCCUCCUAGAAGAAAAUUUCACCUAAAGGAGAAAUGUUGAUAAUGUAAAUGGCAUAUUCUGAAGUCCUUGGAUUGUGAUGUGAUUGUCUGAAGCUAACACCUAGGGCAUCAAAGACUUAGCCAGGGGCUCCACUCCUGGGGCAUGGACAGAAACAAGACAUGUGGGCCACCUACUUAAAGCAUUAUAUGAGGC
ensembl:lncRNA